rnacentral:rRNA from 1 species
GGGGAAUAUUGUGCAAUGGGGGAAACCCUGACACAGCGACGCCGCGUGAGCGAAGAAGGCCUUCGGUCGUAAAGCUCAAUAGUAUGGGAAGAUAAUGACGGUACCAUACGAAAGCCCCGGCUAACUACGUGCCAGCAGCCGCGGUAAUACGUAGGGGGCGAGCGUUGUCCGGAAUUACUGGGCGUAAAGAGCACGUAGGCGGCUGUAAAAGUCAGAUGUGAAAAACCUGGGCUCAACCGAGGGUAUGCAUCUGAAACUAAAUAGCUUGAGUCAAGGAGAGGAGAGCGGAAUUCCUGGUGUAGCGGUGAAAUGCGUAGAGAUCAGGAAGAAUACCAGUGGCGAAAGCGGCUCUCUGGACUUGAACUGACGCUGAGGUGCGAAAGCGUGGGGAGCAAAC